rnacentral:ncRNA from 2 species
GAUAGUGAACUUAAUAUCUCUCAUAUAAUACCUGGGAAUAUGGCCCGAAAGUUUCUACCCAAUAACCGUAAAUUAUUGGACUAUGAGAGAAAGUGAUUCCUUU